rnacentral:rRNA from 1 species
AUCUACAGGCUUAACACAUGCAAGUCGAGGGGCAUCAGGAAGAAAGCUUGCUUUCUUUGCUGGCGACCGGCGCACGGGUGAGUAACACGUAUCCAACCUGCCCUUUACUCGGGGAUAGCCUUUCGAAAGAAAGAUUAAUACCCGAUAGUAUAAUGAUUCCGCAUGGUUUCAUUAUUAAAGGAUUCCGGUAAAGGAUGGGGAUGCGUUCCAUUAGGUUGUUGGUGAGGUAACGGCCCACCAAGCCUUCGAUGGAUAGGGGUUCUGAGAGGAAGGUCCCCCACAUUGGAACUGAGACACGGUCCAAACUCCUACGGGAGGCAGCAGUGGGGAAUAUUGGUCAAUGGGCGCUAGCCUGAACCAGCCAAGUAGCGUGAAGGAUGAAGGCUCUAUGGGUCGUAAACUUCUUUUAUAUAAGAAUAAAGUGCAGUAUGUAUACUGUUUUGUAUGUAUUAUAUGAAUAAGGAUCGGCUAACUCCGUGCCAGCAGCCGCGGUAAUACGGAGGAUCCGAGCGUUAUCCGGAUUUAUUGGGUUUAAAGGGAGCGUAGGUGGACUGGUAAGUCAGUUGUGAAAGUUUGCGGCUCAACCGUAAAAUUGCAGUUGAUACUGUCAGUCUUGAGUACAGUAGAGGUGGGCGGAAUUCGUGGUGUAGCGGUGAAAUGCUUAGAUAUCACGAAGAACUCCGAUUGCGAAGGCAGCUCACUGGACUGCAACUGACACUGAUGCUCGAAAGUGUGGGUAUCAAACAGGAUUAGAUACCCUGGUAGUCCACACAGUAAACGAUGAAUACUCGCUGUUUGCGAUAUACAGUAAGCGGCCAAGCGAAAGCAUUAAGUAUUCCACCUGGGGAGUACGCCGGCAACGGUGAAACUCAAAGGAAUUGACGGGGGCCCGCACAAGCGGAGGAACAUGUGGUUUAAUUCGAUGAUACGCGAGGAACCUUACCCGGGCUUAAAUUGCAGUGGAAUGAUGUGGAAACAUGUCAGUGGGCAAUCACCGCUGUGAAGGUGCUGCAUGGUUGUCGUCAGCUCGUGCCGUGAGGUGUCGGCUUAAGUGCCAUAACGAGCGCAACCCUUAUCUUCAGUUACUAACAGGUCAUGCUGAGGACUCUGGAGAGACUGCCGUCGUAAGAUGUGAGGAAGGUGGGGAUGACGUCAAAUCAGCACGGCCCUUACGUCCGGGGCUACACACGUGUUACAAUGGGGGGUACAGAAGGCAGCUAGCGGGUGACCGUAUGCUAAUCCCAAAAGCCUCUCUCAGUUCGGAUCGAAGUCUGCAACCCGACUUCGUGAAGCUGGAUUCGCUAGUAAUCGCGCAUCAGCCACGGCGCGGUGAAUACGUUCCCGGGCCUUGUACACACCGCCCGUCAAGCCAUGGGAGCCGGGGGUACCUGAAGUACGUAACCGCAAGGAUCGUCCUAGGGUAAAACUGGUGACUGGGGCUA